rnacentral:lncRNA from 1 species
CCCGUUGCUAGCUGUGUCCUUUGCCACUUGUUGUGCUGUUCCAGGAGUUGCCAUUCUGACCUUGGGGGUGAAUCCACUCACAGGAGCCCUGGGGCUCUUCAACAUUUUCCUGUAUACCUGCUGCUACACACCACUGAAAAGGAUCAGCAUUGCCAACACAUGGGUCGGAGCUGUGGUUGGGGCCAUCCCGCCUGUCAUGGGCUGGACAGCGGCCACGGGCAGCCUCGAUGCUG